CAGAUGGGACCCUAAGUAGC
rnacentral:misc_RNA from 1 species